rnacentral:rRNA from 1 species
UGGGGAAUAUUGCACAAUGGGCGCAAGCCUGAUGCAGCCAUGCCGCGUGUGUGAAGAAGGCCUUCGGGUUGUAAAGCACUUUCAGCGAGGAGGAAGGUGGUGAGCUUAAUACGCUCAUCAAUUGACGUUACUCGCAGAAGAAGCACCGGCUAACUCCGUGCCAGCAGCCGCGGUAAUACGGAGGGUGCAAGCGUUAAUCGGAAUUACUGGGCGUAAAGCGCACGCAGGCGGUUUGUUAAGUCAGAUGUGAAAUCCCCGGGCUCAACCUGGGAACUGCAUUUGAAACUGGCAAGCUAGAGUCUCGUAGAGGGGGUAGAAUUCCAGGUGUAGCGGUGAAAUGCGUAGAGAUCUGGAGGAAUACCGGUGGCGAAGGCGGCCCCCUGGACGAAGACUGACGCUCAGGUGCGAAAGCGCGGGGAGCAAACAGGAUUAGAUACCCUGGUAGUCCACGCUGUAAACGAUGUCGAUUUUGGAGGUUGUGCCCUUGGGGCGUGGCUUCCGGAGCUAACGCGUUAAAUCGACCGCCUGGGGAGUACGGCCGCAAGGUUAAAACUC